CCCUUAGAUGUUCUGGGCAGCACGCGCGCUACAAUGGUCUUCGCAAAUGGAUGCAUUCUCGAAGGAGAAUGCCAAUCUUGGAAUCUAUGCCUUGGUCGGGACAGUUGCUUGCAAUUUUUCGACUCGAACCAGGAAUUCCUUGCAAUCGUGAUUCAUCACAUCACGAUGAAUACGUCCCUGCCCUUUGUACACACCGCCCGUCGCUCCUACCGAUCGAAGAGUUAGGUGAAUUGUUUUGAUCGAUAAGAUUUGACUAUGGUCAACUCUCGUUGUGAAAUUCUGUGAAUCUGACUGUUUAGAGGAAGGAAAAGUCGUAACA
rnacentral:rRNA from 1 species